GACGAACGCUGGCGGCGUGCUUAACACAUGCAAGUCGAACGGUGAAGCGCCUUCCUUUUUGGUGGGUGUGGAUGAGUGGCGAACGGGUGAGUAACACGUGAGUAACCUGCCCCCUUCUUCUGGAUAACCGCAUGAAAGUGUGGCUAAUACGGGAUAUUCUGGGUCUGUCGCAUGAUGGGUCUGGGAAAGAUAUUGUUUCGGUGGGGGAUGGGCUCGCGGCCUAUCAGCUUGUUGGUGGGGUGAUGGCCUACCAAGGCGGUGACGGGUAGCCGGCCUGGGAGGGUGGACGGUCUCACUGGGACUGAGGCACGGGCCAGACUCCUACGGGAGGCAGCGGGGGGGAAUAGUGCACAAUGGGCGCAAGCCUGAUGCAGCGACGCCGCGUGAGGGAUGGAGGCCUUCGGGUUGGGAACCUCUUUCGCCAGUGAAGCAGGCCUGCCUCGUUUGUGGGUGGGUUGACGGUAGCUGGAUAAGAAGCGCCGGCUAACUACGUG
rnacentral:rRNA from 1 species